GUUAAGCUUGUUUUUUAUGUUAUUUUUACGUACGGUUGUCUUACCAUUUUUUGGAGCAUUUGGCUCAUGAAAAAUAGCUUCAUCGUCAUCUGAUGCAGUUGUUUUAUCAACAUCUGCCAGUGGCAAAUUUUUUCAGAUCUGUAUAGAGUUAAUGUCGAAAUCAAAGUUAUUUUGGUUAAUUUUUUUACCUUUAGCUUUGUCACCACCUGC
rnacentral:lncRNA from 1 species